CCCUACAGCCAUACCACCCCGAACGCGCUCAAUCUUACCUGAUCUCCGAAGCUAAACAGGGUCGGGCCUCGUUAGUAUUUGGAUAGGAGACACAUGCUAACUUUUUAAGAACUACUAUUUAGAGU
rnacentral:rRNA from 1 species